GAGAGCCGGAUGAGGGGGGGACCUUCACGUCCGGUUCGGAGGGCGGGGAUAUUCCGACCCUAC
rnacentral:ncRNA from 1 species